rnacentral:rRNA from 1 species
CCCGCUGAACUUAAGCAUAUCAAUAAGCGGAGGAAAAGAAACUAACAAGGAUUCCCCUAGUAACGGCGAGUGAAGCGGGAUGAGCUCAAAUUUGAAAUCUGGCUGGUUUACUAGUCCGAGUUGUAAUUUAAAGAAGCGUUUUCGGUGGCAGCCUGGGUAUAAAUCCUUUGGAAUAGGGUAUCAUAGAGGGUGAGAAUCCCGUCUUUGACCUAGUGCAUGCUACUAUGUGAUACGUUUUCAAAGAGUCGAGUUGUUUGGGAAUGCAGCUCAAAAUGGGUGGUAAAUUUCAUCUAAAGCUAAAUAUUGGCGAGAGACCGAUAGCGAACAAGUACCGUGAGGGAAAGAUGAAAAGAACUUUGAAAAGAGAGUUAAACAGUGCGUGAAAUUGUUGAAAGGGAAACGUUUGACACCAGUCAUGUGGGUGGAAAAUCAGUCUUUUGCAUUGGGGAGUUGUAAAGGUUCGGACCGCAAGGCCGGCUUUUGCUUCAUCUUUGGUGUAAGGGAUGCACUUUUUCAUCUACAGGUCAACAUCAGUUUCUUUUGCUGGACAAAACUCCGAGAGAAGGUAGCAGCUUAGGCUGUGUUAUAGCUCUGGAGCGAUACAGUGAAGGGGACUGAGGUUUUCGCAGCGUGUGCUCUCGGGCAAGGCUGGAUGGGUGCAAUGGGAUCGUUCGGGGUACAAUGCCUGGCAUUUUGCUUCGUGUCUUUUCUAUACUCGCUCAACUCAGCUCUUCCACGCUUAGGAUGUUGACUUAAUGGUUUUAAACGACCCGUCUUGAAACACGG